rnacentral:tRNA from 1 species
AUCCCUGUAGCUUAGUGGGAAAGCGUGAAGGCGGCCGCAAUAACAGACUUCAGGUCCGGGGUUCGAUUCCCCGCAGGGGUGCCA